rnacentral:rRNA from 1 species
UUGGAGGGCAAGUCUGGUGCCAGCAGCCGCGGUAAUUCCAGCUCCAAUAGCGUAUAUUAAAGUUGUUGCAGUUAAAAAGCUCGUAGUUGAAUUUCGGGGUCAGUAGGUCGGUCGUGCCACUGGUAUGAACUGGUUUUACUGAUUCCUCCCUCUUGAAGAACUGUAAUGCCAUUAAUUCGGUGUUGCAGGGAAUCAGGACUGUUACUUUGAAAAAAUUAGAGUGUUUAAAGCAGGCUUUAGCUUGAAUACAUUAGCAUGGAAUAAUGAAAUAGGACGUUUGAUCCUAUUUUGUUGGUUUCUAGGAUUGACGUAAUGAUUAAUAGGGAUAGUUGGGGGCAUUAGUAUUCAAUUGUCAGAGGUGAAAUUCUUGGAUUUAUUGAAGACUAACUACUGCGAAAGCAUUUGCCAAGGAUGUUUUCAUUAAUCAAGAACGAAAGUUAGGGGAUCGAAGACGAUCAGAUACCGUCGUAGUCUUAACCAUAAACUAUGCCGACUAGGGAUCGGAUGAUGUUAAUUUUUUAAUGACUCAUUCGGCGCCUUACGGGAAAC